CCUACGGGAGGCAGCAGUGGGGAAUAUUGGACAAUGGGCGAAAGCCUGAUCCAGCAAUGCCGCGUGAGUGAUGAAGGCCUUAGGGUUGUAAAGCUCUUUUACCAGGGAUGAUAAUGACAGUACCUGGAGAAUAAGCUCCGGCUAACUCCGUGCCAGCAGCCGCGGUAAUACGGAGGGAGCUAGCGUUGUUCGGAAUUACUGGGCGUAAAGCGUACGUAGGCGGUUAUUCAAGUCAGAGGUGAAAGCCUGGAGCUCAACUCCAGAACUGCCUUUGAAACUAGAUAGCUAGAAUCUUGGAGAGGUGAGUGGAAUUCCGAGUGUAGAGGUGAAAUUCGUAGAUAUUCGGAAGAACACCAGUGGCGAAGGCGACUCACUGGACAAGUAUUGACGCUGAGGUACGAAAGCGUGGGGAGCAAACAGGAUUAGAUACCCUGGUAGUCCACGCCGUAAACGAUGAUAACUAGCUGUUCGGGCUCUACGAGCUGAGUGGCGCNGCUACGACAUUAAGUUAGUCCGUCCGUCGGGAGGUACGGUCGCGAGAAUUAAACUACGAAGAAGUAGUACGCGNGAGACGUGCGACGGACGACGACGAGGGAGGAGG
rnacentral:rRNA from 1 species